rnacentral:tRNA from 1 species
CCUGGUGGCUCAGAUGGUAAAGAAUCUGCCUGCAAUGCAGAAGACCCAGGUUCGACCCCUGGGGUCAGGA